UACAGAGGGGGCUAGCGUUGUUCGGAAUUACUGGGCGUAAAGGGCGCGUAGGUGGCCUGUUAAGUCGAACGUGAAAUCCCCGGGCUCAACCCGGGAACUGCGUCCGAGACUGGGAGGCUAGAAUCCGGGAGAGGGAUGUGGAAUUCCAGGUGUAGCGGUGAAAUGCGUAGAUAUCUGGAGGAACAUCGGUGGCGAAGGCGGCAUCCUGGACCGGUAUUGACGCUGAGGCGCGGAAGCCAGGGGAGCAAACGGG
rnacentral:rRNA from 1 species